AGUGAACGCUGGCGGUAGGCCUAACACAUGCAAGUCGAACGGCAGCACAGUAAGAGCUUGCUCUUACGGGUGGCGAGUGGCGGACGGGUGAGGAAUACAUCGGAAUCUACUUUUUCGUGGGAGAUAACGUAGGGAAACUUACGCUAAUACCGCAUACGACCUACGGGUGAAAGCAGGGGAUCUUCGGACCUUGCGCGAUUGAAUGAGCUGAUGUCGGAUUAGCUAGUUGGCGGGGUAAAGGCCCACCAAGGCGACGAUCCGUAGCUGGUCUGAGAGGAUGAUCAGCCACACUGGAACUGAGACACGGUCCAGACUCCUACGGGAGGCAGCAGUGGGGAAUAUUGGACAAUGGGCGCAAGCCUGAUCCAGCCAUACCGCGUGGGUGAAGAAGGCCUUCGGGUUGUAAAGCCCUUUUGUUGGGAAAGAAAAGCAGCAGGUUAAUACCCCGCUGUUCUGACGGUACCCAAAGAAUAAGCACCGGCUAACUUCGUG
rnacentral:rRNA from 1 species